rnacentral:vault_RNA from 1 species
GUGCAGGCUUGAUCGUGUGGUUACUUCGUUACUCAAACAAUUGUUCGUCACACAAUGUGGUUGGUUUCCAACUGUACCACUGAUGCCACCCUGUACUUUU